rnacentral:misc_RNA from 1 species
CCAAACUUGGUCAUUUAGAGGAAGUAAAAGUCGUAACAAGGUUUCCGUAGGUGAACCUGCGGAAGGAUCAUUACAAGGAAACGGUGCCCUCGUGGCCCGGUCCUCAAACCACUGUUUACCAAACUUCAUGUUGCCUCGGCGGGCUGGCUCAGGCCCAGCCUGCGCCCCCCGAUGCGCCCGCGCGUCGCGGAACGGCCCGCCGCAGGACCCAUAAAAAAACCAUUCUGUUCGACGAACGUCUGAUGAAACCUUCGCGAAUGCGAUAAAUACAACUUUCAACAAUGGAUCUCUUGGCUCCGGCAUCGAUGAAGAACGCAGC